CAGAUAGUAGCGUAAUUGGUCACGUGUCAAUAUUGGGUAUUGGAGCAUAAAGGUUCGAGUCCUUUCUAUCUGA